UGGCCGAGCGCCAGUGCGGCUCUUCCAGCACCUCGAAGAUCGCCGCCCCGAUGGACAGGUAGAAGAUGAUGGCCGAGGUUCAGCGGAGUUUCCCGUUUUCGACACCGCCGGGCUGUGAAAGGAGAGCUGCGGCUUCCCUGCAUCCAGCGAGGUGCGGGGGAGGCGAGCAGGAGCUCUGAGGAGAAAGGCGAGGGCUGCCGGCAGGUUUCACCCCUUCCCCGAGAUGUUGACCACACGUGUGCGUUACGGAUCCUUCACAGCAGGAACUGUAUCACCCUUCAUGCAUUUUGUACAUUCAAUAAACCUUCCUAUGGAUUGCC